rnacentral:rRNA from 1 species
AGUGAACGCUGGCGGCAGGCCUAACACAUGCAAGUCGAGCGGCAGCGGGUUCCCGCGAGGGGAUGCCGGCGAGCGGCGGACGGGUGAGGAACACAUCGGAAUCUGCCUGGUUGUGGGGGAUAACGUAGGGAAACUUACGCUAAUACCGCAUGCGACCCUGAGUCGACGGACUGGGGGUGAAGUGAGGGACCUUCGGCCGUCACGCGACCAGAUGAGCCGAUGUCGG